rnacentral:tRNA from 1 species
CUUUCGGUAGCUCAGCUGGUUUAGAGUAGGGGACUGUAAAUCCCUUGGUCGGGUGUUCGAAUCACCCCCGAAAGA